UUCUAUGUUCUAAACAACCUGAAGGCACAAGAUCCAGUCUGAUCUUGGAAGCUAAGCAGGAUCGCUCAUGACUAAUACUUGGAUGGUGGACUGCUAUGGAAUACUAAGUGCUUUAGGGC
rnacentral:rRNA from 1 species